GAUGAACGCUGGCGGCGUGCCUAAUACAUGCAAGUAGAACGCUGAAGGAGGAGCUUGCUCUUCUGGAUGAGUUGCGAACGGGUGAGUAACGCGUAGGUAACCUGCCUGGUAGCGGGGGAUAACUAUUGGAAACGAUAGCUAAUACCGCAUAACAGUAGAUAUUGCAUGAUAUCUGCUUGAAAGGUGCAAUUGCAUCACUACCAGAUGGACCUGCGUUGUAUUAGCUAGUUGGUGGGGUAACGGCUCACCAAGGCGACGAUACAUAGCCGACCUGAGAGGGUGAUCGGCCACACUGGGACUGAGACACGGCCCAGACUCCUACGGGAGGCAGCAGUAGGGAAUCUUCGGCAAUGGACGGAAGUCUGACCGAGCAACGCCGCGUGAGUGAAGAAGGUUUUCGGAUCGUAAAGCUCUGUUGUAAGAGAAGAACGAGUGUGAGAGUGGAAAGUUCACACUGUGACGGUAUCUUACCAGAAAGGGACGGCUAACUACGUGCCAGCAGCCGCGGUAAUACGUAGGUCCCGAGCGUUGUCCGGAUUUAUUGGGCGUAAAGCGAGCGCAGGCGGUUAGAUAAGUCUGAAGUUAAAGGCUGUGGCUUAACCAUAGUACGCUUUGGAAACUGUUUAACUUGAGUGCAAGAGGGGAGAGUGGAAUUCCAUGUGUAGCGGUGAAAUGCGUAGAUAUAUGGAGGAACACCGGUGGCGAAAGCGGCUCUCUGGCUUGUAACUGACGCUGAGGCUCGAAAGCGUGGGGAGCAAACAGG
rnacentral:rRNA from 1 species